GCCUUUGUAGCUCUGUUGGUUACAGCACUGUACCAGAAUCGCAGGGCUGCAGGUUCAAUUCUUGCCAGGGACC